AUGGUGGUGCAAGUCCCAGCUACUCAGGAGGCUGAGGCAGGAGAGUUGCUUGAGCUCAGGAGGCAGAGAUUGCAGUGAGCUGAGAUUGUGCCACUGUACUACCACCUGGGUGACAGAGCGACAGAGAGACUCUGUCUCAAAAAAAAAAAAAAAAAAAAAGCGAGCCCAGAGGAGCUCACUGGCUGACAGCAGAGGCAGAACUGAAAAUGACUAAAAGCAGGGAGCUGUGGUGGGGCUAGAGGCCAAGGCAAGCAGAGGUCUAAGGGGCUGUCUCAUACAACACUACAAGGGAGAGGCUUUUGAAGGGGCCUUUGAAUUAGGUAUUGAGAAAUGAUCACGUCUGUGGAUGGGGCUGGGAUAGGGAUGGGAAUGAACAUUUCAGCACGGUCAGGAGCUUGUACACACAGACAGUGUGAUGAGAAGCCAGGCAUUUUGGAGAGUGAUGACAGCCGCCUCCCUCAACAUUUGCAAGGCGGGGAGCAAGUGUACAGAUGGAGGCGUAUAUAUAAUGUGUCUAAAUAUUUAAAAGUUAUAAAUCAGGCUAGCAAGUUCUUAAUUAAAUAUAUUCGACUCUCCUCCCUUGACAAAUAUACCUCUGCAGCAAUCUGGAAGACCAUGUUGGAAUGUAGAAGUCUCUGGCAUUUCAUGCUGGAAUGAGAUAGCAGGCGAAGAGGUGGGUCAGAUCUUCUCCCACCCACUCCUCUCCUCACCCUGCUCCCUCCCAGGCUGCUAGGGGCCUCAGGCACACAUGUGGACGCAAAACUCCAUCACGAACUCGUCUACAACCCCCGCGAACAGCUGCCCUUUAGCUGUCCCAGGGGUGUGGCACUGGCAAGGAAGUGGCCAGAGCAGGCCUUGAAAGUCUGCAGGGAAUUCUCAGGUUCUGGGUACCUGAGUGUGGUCUCUGGGGAUGGUGUGGACUUUGGGUGGGCACAUCACUAUGGGCCCUGCAGACUCCUUGCCCCAUGAGGUGGGGCACUUCUGGAGGAAGGCCAGCACAGGGCCCUUUUGCCUUGGUCUGAGAAUGAUAGUGAGUCCUGAGCAGUUCCUGGUGGCUGGAAUGUCGUGUUCAGCAGGAGCAGCAGCAGAGGAGGCUGAUUCCCGUCGUGAUGAGAGACAAUGAAAAUGGUGGCCCUGAAUUCUACCUCUGGUCUUUAGGAAAAGUAAUGUCAAAAAUGAUGGAGUUUGAUUUGGAAACAACUGGGAGGCGGCCUAAUGCUAUUCCACUCACCACAUUCAUACAGAUGUCGAGCACGUCCAAAUCAAUGCAUGGAACCUGCCUUUCUGGCCCUGAAGUUCUGAGAAGCUAGAUGUGAACAGGGUCUAAGCUACCCGCUGUCUCAGGUUGCUAGAAUUCCAGAGAGAAACCAACCACUCCAGAGAGUGAAUGUUCUAAACUGCACACCAUGCCAACUUGCCUGCUCACUGACCACCUUGCUUGAAGAACUGAGUUACGAGGCACGACCUAGGGAGGGAGCAAAGGAGGCUUCUCUCUCCAGAAGAGAAAUCAAUAGCUGGUCAAGAUUUGGGGAGGGUGAAGGUGAUGAAUUCUCAGAUAUGGAGGAAACUGAAGUGGAAGAGCUGUUGCUUCUAUAAAAAGAAACUGAUAGACACGGAUGGGAGUGGAACCAAAUCAAUUGGUGGGCGAUGAGGAAAGAUGAAGAGCAGUAAGAAUGAAAAUAUCCGAAUGGAAAAAAAGUACUAACAUUUUUGUUUUAUGCUUUUUCUCAAAUGUUGCAAAUUCUUUCUAUAUUAAAUCUGUUGUUCUAGAUAAUGGAAUUAGUUUUAGCAGAUAACAGUUAUCAAAUUUUUGGUGAAUCUGGUUUGAAUUGCCCUUCCAAUACAAAAUUGAUGCUAUUGGCCAGCCACUGGUAGGCCUGGCAGUAAUUUUCUGUGUUGGUGGUGGACUAUGCUGCCUGAGCCACUGACAUCCCCUCUCACAUUGCCCACUAGGACAAACUGCAGGCAUUUGCAAGAUGGUUAGCUAAGUUUAGGAGUAGAGUCUGUGACGAUGGAAUAGAUCUUUUUUAAUGUGAAAAUUGCCAGCUUAUAAUACCAUUACAUUAUAAUUUUACUCCAUAUCCUUAAAAAGUGCACACAUUUUUACUGAUUUUAUAGGACAAUCUCCUGAGAUAUAAGAAAAGCCCAAUUCACACAGCCUCCUUUCAUCCCGUUCCAGGGCAGUCACUGCCAUCCUAAAGCUGCAUUACUUUAGCAUGGCUCCUCUUUCUUCAUACUCUGUUCAGUUUCUAUUAAUCAUUUUUCUCCACAGUGUUGAGAAGGAACAGAAACACGGGCUUUGGAGUCAGGCAGACCUGGGUUAGAAUCCUGGCUCUGGUUGUGAGACCUUCUCAAAGUCACUAUAAAAUGAGGAUAGGCCGGGCGCGGUGGCUCACGCCUGUAAUCCCAGCACUUUGGGAGGCCGAGGUGGGCGGAUCACGAGGUCAAGAGAUCAAGACCAUCCUGGCCAUGGUGAAACCCCAUCUCUACUAAAAAUACAAAAAACUAGCUGGAUGUGGUGGCAUGCGCCUGUGGUCCCAGCUACUCGGGAGGCUGAGGUGGAAGAAUCGCUUGAACCCAGGCGGAGGUUGCAGUGAGCUGAGAUUGUGCCACUGUGCUCCAGCCUGGUGACAGACUAAGACUCCGUCUCAAAAAAAAAAAAAAAAAAAAAAAAAAAAUGAGGAUAAUGAGGUCGAAUUCUGUUGUGUGUUAAUGAAAUACUUAUGUUAAGACAUUGCCCAGUGCCUGGUACUCAAAGUCAUUUGUUUCCUCUGAAUGAGUGGAGCAGAAUGCUUCUGGGAGAGCAUUUCAUUCUCUGAUUUAUCAUAAGAUCAGGCCUAUCCAAAACACUCAAACAUCCGAAGACUUCAAUCUCUUUUAUUCUUUUUUUCCUAAUGUCAUAAUCCACUGGACUCCUAAGCAUGUAAGUAGGUACCAUGGAAUGUAAACAAGGAAACAGAAAUAUACUGAAUAUGUGGAAACAAAGCUGUGACACACAGAUGAAAUAGCUACACUAAAGAAAACAUUAAAACAUUUAAAAAGAGACUUAAUGUAGGAAUAAGCUAUUUUAAUCAAGCAGAAAACAAAUUUAUAUCCAUUAUUUCUAAAAAUAAAAUUAGACUUUUCCAAUCCUUAACAUCUGCAUUUAAUAAUAUCUUCUAACCAAAAUACAGAUGCUAAAACAGCAAGUUACAUUAUAUCUUGUACAGCAUACAGUAUGUUCACUGUUUACACUUACUUUAAUUCUAGUUGGUCAUGUACUCAAUGCAUAAACAUCACUCAAUAAAAUUUUCACAAUUAACAAAAAAAUGUGACAAGGCUGUCUUAAAAUGGCUCUGCUAUAAAUUGUAUAGAAUAUACAGAAUUACAAAGUCAAGUAUUUUUUUAUCAAAAUAUACACCCCUCCCUGAAACUAACACAAGCUAUCAACAUUUUAAAUGAAUACAAUUAUAGAAAAUAUUUGCAAAAUUAUUUUUUCAUGUAUAAAUAUUCUGCCAUAUUUACUUUGGUCUAGAAUUAUCAGCAUACAAGUCCACUUAAAAAAUAUCCACAUGUAAGGACCAGGAGACAUCACUACAGGUAAUUUUAUAUUUGGGGUUAACUCAAAUCAGAAUGACUAGAUUACACAGUAAUUCUCUUUCAUUCAUAUUACUGAAAAAAAUUAGUGGAUCACAGGAUUUCUUAUUCAAUAUUCUAAUUAUCAAUUCAAAAAUGAUUUUCAUAAGCCCUUUGUGACUAUCUCUUUAACAAAACCCAAAUGAAUAGUGUAGGGUAUACAUAUAUACAAUGUAUAAAAUAAAGUUGAAUUUGCUUGCAUUUUCCAUUUUUCUCUACUUAUAUAAUACUGUAUGUAAGUGAAAGUAGAUGAACAAAAGAUAAAUGCAGAUACAAUAGUGGGGUUACUUAACAGCAAGGUACUACAGUAUUAAAAGGUCAACUUUAAUCAUGUCCUUUCCUGGGUGUUUAAAUGCUUUCUUACCCACCCAAAUCCACGCUAAGUCUUCACGGAGACAUCACACUUGUAGAGAGAAAAUUGAGUCCUCUGAACUACUUCUUCACAAUGAUAACCUUCCAACCUUCGAUAACCUUGGGUUUCCAUCUGUCAACUCCAAUGAACAUGAAUGACUGCAGGUCAUGCUGAAACUGCAAUCUGGAUUCUGCUCACACCGGUGAUCAAAGGGUAGAAAUGUUUUCUCUCUCCCUCCUAUUCUGGCAGUUUAAAGAAGAAUCAUGAGUUCCAGCUUUCCAGGAACCUAGUCCACAUGAUAGAAUAUACUGUAGGGCAACUAGAUUUGAGGAUAAUGUUGAUGGUGUGGGUCAGUGUAAAAGAACAU